UACAGAGGGGGCAAGCGUUGUUCGGAAUUACUGGGCGUAAAGGGCGCGUAGGCGGCCUCUUAAGUCGAACGUGAAAGCCCCCGGCUCAACUGGGGAGGGUCACGCGAUACUGCUCGACUCGAAGGCAGGAGAGGGAAGUGGAAUUCCCGGUGUAGUGGUGAAAUGCGUAGAUAUCGGGAGGAACACCAGUGGCGAAGGCGACUUCCUGGCCUGUUCUUGACGCUGAGGCGCGAAAGCUAGGGUAGCAAACGGG
rnacentral:rRNA from 1 species